UACGGGGGGAGCAAGCGUUGUUCGGAUUUACUGGGCGUAAAGGGCGCGUAGGCGGCCACCGCAAGUCGACUGUGAAAUCUCCGGGCUUAACCCGGAAAGGUCAGCCGAUACUGCGGGGCUAGAGUGCAGAAGGGGCAACUGGAAUUCUACGGUGUAGCGGUGAAAUGCGUAGAUAUCGAGAGGAACACCUGCGGCGAAGGCGGGUUGCUGGGCUGACACUGACGCUGAUGCGCGAAAGCUAGGGGAGCGAACGGG
rnacentral:rRNA from 1 species